rnacentral:rRNA from 1 species
AGAGUGAACGCUGGCGGCAGGCCUAACACAUGCAAGUCGAGCGGCAGCGCGGGGCAACCCUGGCGGCGAGCGGCGGACGGUGAGGAAUACAUCGGAAUCUACCCUGUCGUGGGGAUAACGUAGGAACUUACGCUAAUACCGCAUACGACCGAGAGGUGAAAGCGGGGAUACGAAAGACCUCGCGCGAUUGGAUGAGCCGAUGUCGGAUUAGCUAGUUGGUAGAGGUAAGCUACACCGAAGGCGACGAUCCGUAGCUGGUCUGAGAGGAUGAUCAGCCACGACGUGGACUGACGACGACCGGCCCAGACCUCCGAGGGA